GACGUAGGGUCCAAGCGUUUGUCCGGAUUUACUGGGCGUAAAGAGCGCGUAGGCGGCUCGUUAAGUGUGAAGUGAAAUCUCCCGAGGGCUCAACCCGGAAACUGCUUCGCAUACUGGCGAGCUGGAGUGAUGAAGAGGUUUGUGGAAUUCCUGGUGUAGCGGUGAAAUGCGUUGAUAUCAGGAGGAACACCGAUGGCGAAGGCAGCAAACUGGUCAUCAACUGACGCUGAGGCGCGAAAGCGUGGGUAGCAAACAGG
rnacentral:rRNA from 1 species